CAGAAUAGUAGAUUUUUUGCCUAAAUCUACCUAUAAAAGGGACUUUAUCCCUAUCAAGAAGAGUAUGCUUGAAUGAGCCACAUCACAAAACGAUGUCUGAAUGGACUGCCAAAACAGUGCCUAAAUGGGCCAAAACCCUAGAGAGUUGGUGGAAAGGAAUUAUCGUUUCCACCAAUCUGCAAAGCACUAUUUCAUUUUCUACGAUUAGUCAAUGAGUGACAACUUGAGGUCCGAGUGAAGAAGAUCUCAUUUAUCAUCUCCCCUAAUUUGUAAUGUUAUUUUCUAUUCUUUUCACUUUUUCAUAUUCUUUACAUUCUAUUUGUUCAUAUUGUACAGUGGUCGAAGACCUUUAUUCUUUAAUCCAAUGUAUAGUUAUAGCUUUUUAAUCCAUCACCUCUUAACUAUUCAUCUGUCCUUCUGUUAUUUGUAGUUUAGGAUCUAUGAUAGAUUUUUUAUAAGCAGCUUAGCUUUGAGCUAUAUUCAUCAUCUGGCCAGUAUAUAUCGCCAACUACCCGAGAGGGUAAAUAGCAAAGAUAUGGCUAAUGCUACUACAAGAAUAGUACCUUCCCCAACGCAGCUCCAGGUCGGCAAAUACACGAAAAACAUCGAAGAAGGUAACUUCGAUGUCAAAGUCGACCUUGGCAGGUACGUCGGAGAAAGCACAUCGAGGACACUUUCCUCGAUGCAUAUCUUCUGAGCAAAACAUUGUUGAUCCUUUUACAAAAGCCCUCACGGCUAAAGUGUUUGAGGGUCACCUACACAGUUUAGGUCUAAGAUGUUUGUAAACUAGGACAAGUGGGAGACUUAUUGGGCAUGUGCCCUAGUUUUAUAUGUGUUUAUUGUACUCAUAUAUAUAAUAUUCUCUCAUGGUUAAAUCCAACAUUGUUGUAUCCCACCAGGAGUUUUAAUCUAAGUGGGAGUUUGUUGGAAUUUUUUAUCCUAAAACUCGUAGUUAUAAUCAUAUUUUGUUCAAUAAAGUUGUUAUAUUGAGAAAUUGAAUAUUAUAAUCUUAAAUCCAAUAAACUAAGUCUCGAUGCUAUUUUUAAUAAACUUGAACUUUAUGUGGAGACAUAAACGUGGAUCAAGUUCGAGUAUAUAGCCUAAAUAGUCUAUAGUAUAUAAAUAAUGGUCGGGCAGAGAAACUAUGGAUGCGGUCUGCUUUGUAGUAAGUACAAACAAGGUGAUCCUGAAUCGUUCAUGUAGAGACAUGAAAGUUGGGGCAUCCUAUGUAAAGUACUUACAUAAGACUGAACCAUGAAAUAGUCACUUUUACGUUAUAACACCGUUUAUUGUUUAAAAUUGCCUACCUCAAUUAUUGAUGGCCUAAGUAACUUAAUCUUAAACCUGAACUAACUAUCAACUCAUGUUCAUAGGAGAUUAUCCUUAGAUCUGUAUAGGUAUGUGCAGUUUAUCAGCGUUGACCCAAUAAGCCUCCAAUUUCAAGGGUAAAAUCGAGUGGAUAGCUGGGGACAUAAGAUGCAAGACAGAAUUCACUCCUACCCGCUUUAGGGUUAGUAGAUAGGUUGUUCUCUUAAGCACUGAAUCCAAGUCUUGAACAAGGAGUCUCACCCUCUCAUUGGCUCGAGAGGGAUUAAGGACCAAAUGACUGAUGAUAGAUCUAUGGAGGCCCAAUCACACGAGUUGCAAAAAAAUUGCUCAUCAAAUAGUUAGUGAAGGUAUGACACUUAAUGAGCAGUUUCAAGUUGUUGUUAUUAUCGACAAGUUACCUUCACUGUGAAAGAAUGUUAAGAAUACUUUAAAGCACAAGAUGAAGGAGUUCUCACUAGAGAGUUUGGUCACCUGGUUGAGGAUUAAGGAUGAGACUCGUAAGCAUGACCAAAAUGAGAAGGUGAACGCUGUCCCCAGGAAGAAGCCCACUAAUGUUCUAAAACAAGACCUGAAACCAAAAGGGAACAGAAUGAAGGUUCAGAAUCGAGCUCCCAACAACCAGAAAAAUUCUCAUAAACCCCAAUCCAGACGUACAAAACAAAUUAUGUGCUUUAAUUGUAAUAAACCUGAACACUUAGCUAGAAACUAUAGAAAUAGAAAUCGUUCUACUAUGCAGGUGAACCUAAUAGAAGAAGAUUUAGUAGCUAUGAUCAUAGAGACAUAUGUAAUCAACAGGUCUCUAUCUAUUUGAGAUAGAAAGUACUUUCUAUCUCAAAUAGAUAGUGAUAGUGACCUAUCUCUAUCUAUUUGGGAUAGAAAAUGACAUAAAUCUCUAUCAUUGUCCCCCAUCUAAAAAAAAUCAGCAAAAUUAAACAAAUGGAUCGACGUUAGAGUUUAUGAAUCAUAAUUUUUUAUUUAUUAUUGUAACGACCCAACUUUUCUAAGUAAGUCGAGAUCGUUAAUUUUUAUCAAAUAAAAGACUUUGAUUAAUAUAAAACAAAACGUAAGCAAUUUAAAAAAAACAUCUUCAAGUCAGGCCUGAUUUUUAAACAUUCAAGAAAACAUAAAAUAAUAUUAUUUACAACAAACGUUUGUAAACUAAAUUUCAAUUCAUUUUAAACCUCACAAGAACCCAUAAGCGGAAGCAAAAACACGUUUCCUAUGGCACCACGCUUCCUUCCUACCCCUUGCCGGUUUGCCGCUUUUAUUACCUUUGCUGGUCUCGUCAGGAUGAGUACUUAAAUACUCAGUAAGAGACUCUCUACUGUCUCGUUAGGGGAAAAUAAAUUGUUAACGUUCUAUUGGAACACCAUGUACAGUCGCAGUCUUGUGAUCCUGUAGGAUACACAUCUCAGUCUAACGCCUCGAGGGACGUACAUAUCAGUCUAGUGUUCUGCAGAAACACAUAUCAGUCUAAUGCUCCCGAAGGUGCACAAUAAAUUGGUGAUCCCGUGGGGCACCUACAAGGUAAACAUCCCAAUACAAUCUAACAAUUUUCCCCUCAUUUCAUUCAAUCCAUCUUUUAAUUACUUCAAGACACAAAGUUCUUUCUUUCAACGUCCUAACAGUCAACUUAUUUUACUUCAGUCAUAUGUCUGUCAAUAUUAUGCUAAUACAUCAGUCAAUCAAACUAUACAGUCAACACACCCCUCAAUCAAACUAUACAGUCAACACACCCCUCAAUCAAACUAUACAGUCAACACACCCCUCAGUUCGUCGGCACACAGUCAUACUUUAACGUAACGUACACCCAAUCUAAACGAAAAUCACAAGUUCACAUCUCCAUCUCAUACAAACACAAUCUACAAUCUUCGUCCUGUCCACAUACACACUUAUAUAUAUAUUCCAUGACAAUCACGAUAUACAUUCGACGUCAAGUCUACUUCAAUUCAUAUGCAUUCAUAUAUAUUUUCAGUCAAUCCACAGUAUACAUUUAACACAUACAAUUCACAGUCAUAAGUGAGUAGAAAAUCCCUUAUCCCUUAUUUUCCUCAACGUAAGUUUCAACUCAACUCACCUCACCGAUAUAAUGGCGAACUGAACCUUCAAUAAUUCACAAUCUGGUUGUGAAUGUAAGGGAGCCUAACGUUACUCCCAACACCUCAUCGCACGACUGUCGAACUCGCAGCAAAAUCCUAAGUGUGGGUCGGUCAGCGGUCGGCCAAAGGGGACGUGGCGGCUGGGCUUCACGGAUGGAGACCGUCGCGAACAGACCGCGAAUCUGAACGGUUACAGCAACUAGUCGGCCGACGUUGAUCGCAGGUGGAGCGGCGGUUGUGAGCGGGGAGCGUGGUCGACGGAGACAGAACCGGCGGAGACGGUUGCAGAACCGCGGCUUCGACGGAGACAGAACCGGCGAUGGAGACGGCUGGGCAGCGGCGGAAGGUCUUGCGGUACAGAUCUGGACGGCGGCCGCAAGGUGACGCGUACGGCUGCCUCGCGAACUGGCCAACGGUUGCAGCGACGUCCGACUGGGUUUGGACGGAACGGAGAGGAGAAGAGAAGAUGGAGAUGGCCGGCGGCGGUUACUGCGCGAACGGAGAGAAGGGAACGGAUGGGGCGGCUGGGCUGCGACUGGGCUGCGGCGGGAAGAAAACGGAAGAGAAAGGAUCGGCGGCUGGGCUGCGGCUGGGCACGAACGGAAGGAGAAGAGGAAUGGAGACGGCCGGCGGCGGUUGCUGCGAACGGGAAGGAGAAGGGAGAAGGGAUCGACGGUCGCACGGGGAAAAAGAAGGGAGAAAAGAAAAGAAAAAGAAAAAGAAAAGAAAAAAAAUAAUAAAAAAUUUCUUUAUUAUUAUUUUUAUUUAUUUAUUUAAAUUAAUAAAAAUAAUAUAUAUAACUUUCCUUUUUUUUUUCUUUUGGGGCAUGUUGUUGAGUUGUAAAUAUUUUUAAUGGUACCAUCAAUUUUCAAGCACACAAACUAUUAAGUAUUAUAUCAUAUUUAGCUUUCUCAAAAACCCUAUGAUAAUAUUAUAUCUCUCUUUACAAUGAUAAAACUAUAUAUUUGUCUCAGAUAAACAACAAUAAUGGUCUAUCUCUGUCUAUCUAGAAUAGAUAGAGAUAGAGCUUUAUCACUUUCUAUCUCAAAUAGAUAGUGAUGGUGGCAGAUCUCUAUCUAUCUAGGAUAGAAAGAAAAAAAGAUCAUUAUAUUGUCCAAGACCUAUUGAGUUAUGCAUGAUGGUCAAUAAUCGUAGAUUGAGAUUCACAAAAAUUGUACGGACGGAGGUAUUUUUGGUAUUUCAC
rnacentral:lncRNA from 1 species